GAUGAACGCUGGCGGCGUGCCUAAUACAUGCAAGUCGAGCGAACGGACGAGAAGCUUGCUUCUCUGAUGUUAGCGGCGGACGGGUGAGUAACACGUGGAUAACCUCCCUAUAAGACUGGGAUAACUUCGGGAAACCGGAGCUCAUACCGGAUAAUAUUUUGAACCGCAUGGUUCAAAAGUGAAAGACGGUCUUUCUGUCACUUAUCGAUUGAUCCGCGCUGCAUUAGCUAGUUGGUAAGGUAACGGCUUACCAAGGCAACGAUGCAUAGCCGACCUGAGAGGGUGAUCGGCCACACUGGAACUGAGACACGGUCCAGACUCCUACGGGAGGCAGCAGUAGGGAAUCUUCCGCAAUGGGCGAAAGCCUGACGGAGCAACGCCGCGUGAGUGAUGAAGGUCUUCGGAUCGUAAAACUCUGUUAUUAGGGAAGAACAUAUGUGUAAGUAACUGUGCACAUCUUGACGGUACCUAAUCAGAAAGCCACGGCUAACUACGUG
rnacentral:rRNA from 1 species